rnacentral:ncRNA from 1 species
CCCGUUUCAGGGCAAACUCACCGAAAGGUGGGGACGCAAAGCCUCCGGUCUACGGGACGCAUGUGCCUAUGACAGCGGGGUUGCCGGU